ACCGACCCAAUGCCCAGCCCUCAUCAUAGGCAUGACUGCCAGGAGGAUGGAACAUACUGACUUCACAAGCAUGGAUGCAUAAUCCAAACCUGGCCAAUGAGACACAAGCCCAAAUCUUUUGUUGGAACAAGUGGACAACAGGGGUUCUCUUUUCGCUGGGAGAAUUUGAGCUGGAUUACUGUACUUAAAACUGAAAGAGUCAUGAGUGACACAAAAGGUCCAAAAUAUCCUUAGAUGGACAGAUAUAAGGCACUUCUUCAGCUUUGCUGGCUUCACGUGUCCACUGAUGAACCAUGAUGUUCCUACAUUUCCCAGGAAGCCGUUCAUACACCUCAAUUUAAAAUUUUAAUCCAGACCGAUUACAUAGUAUUAGCAGCAGAACUC